UACGUAGGGUGCAAGCGUUAAUCGGAAUUACUGGGCGUAAAGCGUGCGCAGGCGGCUUUGCAAGACAGAUGUGAAAUCCCCGGGCUCAACCUGGGAACUGCAUUUGUGACUGCAAGGCUAGAGUACGGUAGAGGGGGAUGGAAUUCCGCAUGUAGCAGUGAAAUGCGUAGAUAUGCGGAGGAACACCGAUGGCGAAGGCAAUCCCCUGGACCUGUACUGACGCUCAUGCACGAAAGCGUGGGGAGCAAACAGG
rnacentral:rRNA from 1 species